rnacentral:rRNA from 1 species
UACGUAGGGUGCGAGCGUUGUCCGGAAUUAUUGGGCGUAAAGAGCUUGUAGGCGGUUUGUCGCGUCUGCUGUGAAAUCUCACAGCUUAACUGUGAAACUGCAUUGGAUACUAUCCGGCUAGAGGAAUGGAGGGGAGACUGGAAUACUUGGUGUAGCAGUGAAAUGCGUAGAUAUCAAGUGGAACACCAGUGGCGAAGGCGAGUCUCUGGACAUUUCCUGGCGCUGAGGCACGAAAGCCAGGGGAGCAAACGGG